AUUGAACGCUGGCGGCAGGCCUAACACAUGCAAGUCGAGCGAGCGGCGGACGGGUGAGUAAUGUAUGGGGACUGCCCGAUAGAGGGGGAUAACUACUGGAAACGGUAGCUAAUACCGCAUACUAUCGGAUAACCCAUAUGGGAUUAGCUAGUAGGUGAGGUAAUGGCUCACCUAGGCGACGAGCCCUAGCUGGUCUGAGAGGAUGAUCAGCCAGACUGGGACGGAGACACGGCCAAGACUCCAACGGAGGGAGCAGGGGGGAAUAUUGCACAAUGGGCGGAAGCCUGAUGCAGCCAUGCCGGGUGUAUGAAGAAGGCGCUAGGGUUGUAAAGUACUUUCAGUCGGGAGGCGUUACCGACAGAAGAAGCACCGGCUAACUCCGUGCCAGCAGCCGCGGUAAAC
rnacentral:rRNA from 1 species